GUGGCUCAGUGGUAGAGUGCUUGCCUUGCAUGCACGAGGCCCUGGGUUCGAUUCCUCAGC
rnacentral:tRNA from 1 species